GACGAACGCUGGCGGCGUGCUUAACACAUGCAAGUCGAACGGAAAGGGCCUGCUCUUGCUGGGUGCUCGAGUGGGGAACAGGUGAGUAACACGCGAGUAACCUGUCCUUGACAUUGGGGUAUCUUCGGGGGACUGGGGCUCUAAUCGGAUAGAAGCUCCUGCUGCAUGGUGUGGGUGGGAAAGUUUCGGCGGUUGGGGAUGGACUCGCGGCUUAUCAGCUUGUUGGUGGGGUAGUGGCUUACCAAGGCUUUGACGGGUAGCCGGCCUGAGAGGGUGACCGGCCACAUUGGGACUGAGAUACGGCCCAGACUCCUACGGGAGGCAGCAGUGGGGAAUAUUGCACAAUGGGCGGAAGCCUGAUGCAGCAACGCCGCGUGCGGGAUGACGGCCUUCGGGUUGUAAACCGCUUUCGGCUGGGACGAAGCGUGAGUGACGGUAAUGGGUAAAGAAGCACCGGCUAACUACGUG
rnacentral:rRNA from 1 species